AGGACAUUGUAAGUAUCAAAUUAGGCAUUAUGAAGUGCUCUGCUAUAUAAAUGCUAGGUGUUAUUAUGAUUUAGUUAUAUAUGUAGGAUGUAUUUGUUCAAGAAAUGUAAGGCUGUUUGUUGUUCAGUCAUUUUCAGCUCUUCAUGAUCUUAUUGUUUUGGUUUUCUUGGCAAAGUUAUUGGAGUGGCUUGUCAUUUUUCUCCAACUCAUUUUACAAAUAAGGAAACUGAGGCAAACAAUGUUAAGUGACUUACUUGCCCAGGGUAAUAUAGUAAGAAGUGUCUGAGGUCAGAAUUUAAAUUCAGGUCUUCCUGAUGCUAGGUCCUGAACUCUAUCCACUAUGCCACCUAGCUACCCACUAUAAAGAAUACAUUUUUAUAACUGAGAGUCAUAAAUCAAGGUGCUGUGGUAGCAUAGAAAGAGACCUGGAUUUGAGACCCAUGUUACUGGACCUAAUUUCAAUUUCUGACUCUGCUUUUUAAUAUCUGUGGUACUUUGGAUAUUUCUCUUUUCUCUGGACUUCAAUUUCCUCAUUGGACAAAUAAAGGGUUUGAACUAGGGAGCUUCUGAGGUUCCCUUCCAGCUCUAAAUCCUAUAAUCCUAUGGCAUCGAUGGAUCUGAGUUUGGAUUCCUGCCUUUGAAUUUACCCAUUGCAUGACCCUGGGAUAACAGAACUGGCAGGACAGAGAGAAGAAAUAGCUGAAGCCUAUAGUGGAUGCCAAUCCAGUAGCCCAACAUCCUGCAGACUAAUCAGGAAGGGGAGGAGCUCCUGCCCCACCUUUUGCCAGGCUGGAUUAGCUGCAACUGAGCACUUUUACAUACAGUGCCUCCCCCACCUCUUCCAUUCUGAGAAAGGACAGAAGAACAGGAUAUGAGGAAAAGGCAUCAAGAUCCCUAAAUCUAGACAUGGGAAAUGGAGGAGGAGGGGAGACAGCAACCAUCAGGCCUCCUACGCACUUUGAAGAUGGUCCAUCAUAUGGAAUGCCAGGUGCUGAAGUUUCAAAGGAUUUGGGUCUAUUGGCAGAGGGCAAAGUCCCAUGAAGUGACUGAAGAAAAUUCAACAUCUUGGGCCUGUCUUAUUCUCCCAAGGGGAUGUUGACAUCAACCCCCAAGAAACAACCCUGGACUAAGAGGGAAGAGACCUAAGUUUGAGCAUGGAAUCUGCUACUAAAUCACUCUGUGACCUUGGAAAGUCUCUUUCUCCAUUUUGGGCCUAAGACAACCCUCCUGCAAAUGAAGGGACUAGACAAGGUGUUAUCUAGGAUUCCUCCCUCCAUCUCUACCUGUCUUUGGUUCUGAAGCCAUCUUUAACCAGUCUAUCUGGAUUCUCAUCAUCCAAAUACAAAAUAAAGUAGAAUAGGCAUAUAUUCUGUAGGCA
rnacentral:lncRNA from 1 species